UUAAGUUCAGCGGGUAUUCCUACCUGAUCCGAGGUCAACAUUUCAGAAGUUGGGGUGUUUUACAGACGUGGACGCGCCGCGCUCCCGGUGCGAGUGUGCAAACUACUGCGCAUGAGAGGCUGCGGCGAGACCGCCACUGUAUUUGGGGGACGGCACCCGGUGAAAGGGCCGAUCCCCAACGCCGACCCCCCGGAGGGGUU
rnacentral:misc_RNA from 1 species